CUUGUUCUUUAAAUAAGGACUCGUAUCAACGGCACUACGAGGGCUAUACUGUCUCCUUUUUCUAAUCAGUGAAACUGAUCUCCCCGUGAAGAAGCGGGGAUUGUAAUAUAAGACGAGAAGACCCCAUGGAGCUUUAAACUCACCAUGUACCCCUGUGCUCCCAUACCCCCAGACACAACAGACCUACAUGUUAGUUUUAGGUUGGGGUGACCACGGAGUAUAACUUAACCUCCAUAGCAAAUGGGCUAAUACCCUUAUCCACGAGACACAACUCUAAGAAUUACUAAACUAAUGCUUACGACCCGAUAUUCGAUCCAUGAACCAAGUUACCCUGGGGAUAACAGCGCAAUCUACUUCAAGAGCCCAUAUCGACAAGUAG
rnacentral:rRNA from 1 species